UUUCCGUAGGUGAACCUGCGGAAGGAUCAUUCAUAAUAAAGUGCUUUAUGGCACUUUUUAAAAAUCCAUAUCCACCUUGUGUGCAAUGUUAGAUCUCGUCAAUCUUGGCGAGAUUUUUAUACAUCAACUCAUUCUUUAACUAAUUUGUCUGAAAAAUAUUAUGAAUACUUAAUUCAAAAUACAACUUUCAACAACGGAUCUCUUGGCUCUC
rnacentral:misc_RNA from 1 species